rfam:Myotis lucifugus cont2.7126, whole genome shotgun sequence.
AGAGGCCCUCUGCGGCCAGGGUGGAAUGCUUGCCUUGUUGCCGCGGUGGCAAAGCAAGCAUUCUGCCAGGCUGCUCACGCUGCCCGC